AUGAACGCUGGCGGCGUGCCUAAUACAUGCAAGUCGCGCGAACAGACGAGGAGCUUGCUCCUCUGACGUUAGCGGCGGACGGGUGAGUAACACGUGGAUAACCUACCUAUAAGACUGGGAUAACUUCGGGAAACCGGAGCUAAUACCGGAUAAUAUAUUGAACCGCAUGGUUCAAUAGUGAAAGACGGUUUUGCUGUCACUUAUAGAUGGAUCCGCGCCGCAUUAGCUAGUUGGUAAGGUAACGGCUUACCAAGGCAACGAUGCGUAGCCGACCUGAGAGGGUGAUCGGCCACACUGGAACUGAGACACGGUCCAGACUCCUACGGGAGGCAGCAGUAGGGAAUCUUCCGCAAUGGGCGAAAGCCUGACGGAGCAACGCCGCGUGAGUGAUGAAGGUCUUCGGAUCGUAAAACUCUGUUAUUAGGGAAGAACAAAUGUGUAAGUAACUAUGCACGUCUGGACGGUACCUAAUCAGAAAGCCACGGCUAACUACGU
rnacentral:rRNA from 1 species